rnacentral:rRNA from 1 species
UUGAUCCUGGCUCAGAACGAACGCUGGCGGCGCGCUUAAUACAUGCAAGUCGAGCGAGAAAGUACCCUUCGGGGUGCGAGUACAGCGGCGAACGGGUGAGUAACACGUAAGCAAUCUGCCCCCAAAUCUGGGAUAACUCUGCCAACGCGGGGCUAAUACCGGAUGUGGUCACGGCAUCGCAUGGUGUUGUGAUUAAAGAUGGCUUCGGCUAUCGUUUGGGGAUGAGCUUGCGGCCCAUUAGCUUGUUGGUGGGGUAAUGGCCCACCAAGGCGACGAUGGGUAGCCGACCUGAGAGGGUGAUCGGCCACAUUGGGACUGAGAUACGGCCCAGACUCCUACGGGAGGCAGCAGUAGGGAAUUUUGCGCAAUGGACGAAAGUCUGACGCAGCGACGCCGCGUGAGGGAUGACGGCCUUCGGGUUGUAAACCUCUGUUGAGUGGGACGAAAACUCGUAGGGUUAAUACCCCUGCGACCUGACGGUACCACUCGAGGAAGCUCCGGCUAACUACGUGCCAGCAGCCGCGGUAAUACGUAGGGAGCAAGCCGUUGUUCGGAAUCACUGGGCGUAAAGGGAGUGUAGGCGGAAAAGUAAGGUUAGGAGUGAAAUACACAGGCUUAACCUGUGUGCCGCUCUUAAUACUGCUUUCCUUGAGUAUGGGAGAGGAAGAUGCGAUUCCAGGUGUAGCGGUGGAAUGCGUAGAUAUCUUGGACGAACACCAGUAGCGAAG